rnacentral:rRNA from 1 species
ACGUAGGGUGCAAGCGUUGGUCGGAAUUAUUGGGCGUAAAGGGUGCGUAGGCGGUUUGGUAAGUCGCUUGUGAAAUCUAUGGGCUCAACUCAUAGUCUGCAAGGGAAACUGCCGGGCUUGAGUGUGGGAGAGGUGAGUGGAAUUUCCGGUGUAGCGGUGAAAUGCGUAGAUAUCGGAAGGAACACCUGUGGCGAAAGCGGCUCACUGGACCACAACUGACGCUGAUGCACGAAAGCUAGGGGAGCAAACAGG